rnacentral:rRNA from 1 species
GUAACACGUGGGUAACCUGCCUGUAAGACUGGGAUACUCCGGGAAACCGGAGCUAAUACCGGAUAGUUCCUUGAACCGCAUGGUUCAAGGAUGAAAGACGGUUUCGGCUGUCACUUACAGAUGGACCCGCGGCGCAUUAGCUAGUUGGUGGGGUAAUGGCUCACCAAGGCGACGAUGCGUAGCCGACCUGAGAGGGUGAUCGGCCACACUGGGACUGAGACACGGCCCAGACUCCUACGGGAGGCAGCAGUAGGGAAUCUUCCGCAAUGGACGAAAGUCUGACGGAGCAACGCCGCGUGAGUGAUGAAGGUUUUCGGAUCGUAAAGCUCUGUUGUUAGGGAAGAACAAGUGCGAGAGUAACUGCUCGCACCUUGACGGUACCUAACCAGAAAGCCACGGCUAACUACGUGCCAGCAGCCGCGGUAAUACGUAGGUGGCAAGCGUUGUCCGGAAUUAUUGGGCGUAAAGGGCUCGCAGGCGGUUUCUUAAGUCUGAUGUGAAAGCCCCCGGCUCAACCGGGGAGGGUCAUUGGAAACUGGGAAACUUGAGUGCAGAAGAGGAGAGUGGAAUUCCACGUGUAGCGGUGAAAUGCGUAGAGAUGUGGAGGAACACCAGUGGCGAAGGCGACUCUCUGGUCUGUAACUGACGCUGAGGAGCGAAAGCGUGGGGAGCGAACAGGAUUAGAUACCCUGGUAGUCCACGCCGUAAACGAUGAGUGCUAAGUGUUAGGGGGUUUCCGCCCCUUAGUGCUGCAGCUAACGCAUUAAGCACUCCGCCUGGGGAGUACGGUCGCAAGACUGAAACUCAAAGGAAUUGACGGGGGCCCGCACAAGCGGUGGAGCAUGUGGUUUAAUUCGAAGCAACGCGAAGAACCUUACCAGGUCUUGACAUCCUCUGACAACCCUAGAGAUAGGGCUUUCCCUUCGGGGACAGAGUGACAGGUGGUGCAUGGUUGUCGUCAGCUCGUUC